UAGGGAAUCUUCGGCAAUGGGGGGAACCCUGACCGAGCAACGCCGCGCGAGUGAAGAAGGUUUUCGGAUCGUAAAGCUCUGUUGUUAAGGAAGAACGAGUGUGAGAAUGGAAAGUUCAUACUGUGACGGUACUUAACCAGAAAGGGACGGCUAACUACGUGCCAGCAGCCGCGGUAAUACGUAGGUCCCGAGCGUUGUCCGGAUUUAUUGGGCGUAAAGCGAGCGCAGGCGGUUAGAUAAGUCUGAAGUUAAAGGCAGUGGCUCAACCAUUGUAGGCUUUGGAAACUGUUUAACUUGAGUGCAGAAGGGGAGAGUGGAAUUCCAUGUGUAGCGGUGAAAUGCGUAGAUAUAUGGAGGAACACCGGUGGCGAAAGCGGCUCUCUGGUCUGUAACUGACGCUGAGGCUCGAAAGCGUGGGGAGCGAACAGG
rnacentral:rRNA from 1 species